AGCAUGUCGGUGAGUCGUGUAUGGCAAAGAGGCACAAUAUUCUCCCGCGUGAACAAUCUCAUCAGAGCCAACUCUCUUCCAUAUGUACACAGACCCCUCUGGUUCGAUAUCUACGAGAAAUUUCCCCCUCUCGAGGAACCGAGAGCAGAUAGACAAGUGAAAAAUAUGCCAGUAUUGGAUAUCCUGUACGAAGAAGACAACGAGCGGGCAGCUGCCGACAGAAACGGAGAAAGGGCUGGGCAAAUUUUCGACCUGACGAAGCAAACAUAAUUGUUCGAUUCUCUUUAAAUAAAGUGACCAAUUGUGCAAUCAACAAGCUCGAAAACUAGACAGGCCUCGAUGCUGACCGAGACACGGGAACUCGAAAAAGCGAAAAGAUUUAACUGAAUUACGUCAUCAUGAGUUCGUUGAAGUUGUAUUUGGUUGAUUUCUGUACAAGUUUGAGAUUUCGAUUUAUACUUAUUGCUCUGGCCAACAAUUUAUUGCGCAUUGCUUUAAAUUUAUUGUACGCAACAGCAACAAUCACAAAAGUACGCUGAUAUGUAAUGUGUGACCGUUUGGUAUCAUAUUUCAUUUUUUUCAGCCUUGAUUAAUUCUAAAUAUUUUCAUUGAAA